rnacentral:piRNA from 1 species
UAAAAUGUUUGGCUUUGAGCAGGG